rnacentral:rRNA from 1 species
GAUGAACGCUGGCGGCGUGCUUAACACAUGCAAGUCGAACGGAAAGACCCUGCUUUUGUUCGUUUCUCGAUUGCCGAACGCGUGAGUGACACGUGUGUAACCUCCCCUUGUCUUUGUGAGAACUUCAGGAAACUGGGGCUAAUACCGGAUAGGAGCUCCUGCUCCAUGGUGGGGGUUGGAAAGUUUCGGCGGUUGGGGAUGGACUCGCGGCUUAUCGGCUUGUUUGUGGGGUAGUUGCUUACCAAGGCUUUGACGGGUAGCCGGCCUGGGAGCGUGACCGGGGACAAUGCGCCUGCGAUACGGACCAGUAUGCUACGGGAGGCAGUAGUGGGGAAUAUUGCAGAAUGGGGGGAAGUCUGAUGAAGCAACGUCGGGUGCGGGAAGACGGGUUUCGGGUUGUAAACAGCUUUGGACUGAGCCGAAGCGGUAGUGACGGUAAUGGGUAAAGAAGCACCGGCUAACUACGUG